ensembl:lncRNA NPEPPSP1 NPEPPS pseudogene 1
GGUCUCUCCCCCGCCCCCCAGGCUCCCCCGGUCGCUCUCCUCCGGCGGUCGCCCGCGCUCGGUGGAUGUGGCUGGCAGCUGCCGCCCCCUCCCUCGCUCGCCGCCUGCUCUUCCUCGGCCCUCCGCCUCCUCCCCUCCUCCUUCUCGUCUUCAGCCGCUCCUCUCGCCGCCGCCUCCACAGCCUGGGCCUCGCCGCGAUGCCGGAGAAGAGGCCCUUCGAGCGGCUGCCUGCCGAUGUCUCCCCCAUCAACUGCAGCCUUUGCCUCAAGCCCGACUUGCUGGACUUCACCUUCGAGGGCAAGCUGGAGGCCGCCGCCCAGGUGAGGCAGGCGACUAAUCAGAUUGUGAUGAAUUGUGCUGAUAUUGAUAUUAUUACAGCUUCAUAUGCACCAGAAGGAGAUGAAGAAAUACAUGCUACAGGAUUUAACUAUCAGAAUGAAGAUGAAAAAGUCACCUUGUCUUUCCCUAGUACUCUGCAAACAGGUACAGGAACCUUAAAGAUAGAUUUUGUUGGAGAGCUGAAUGACAAAAUGAAAGGUUUCUAUAGAAGUAAGUAUACUACCCCUUCUGGAGAGGUGCCCUAUGCUGCUGUAACACAGUUUGAGGUAUGGGUUAUUCUUCUCUAAAAUAUUAUUAUUCUUAAAUUAGGCAUUCUGACAAAGGUGUGUUUAUUAUGUGGGGUGAUUAUUUGAGGCUAGGUGCCCUUGGCCAUGAUUGUAUUCACAAUUUUAGAAUUUUUAUUUUAUAUUUAGCCAUUAUCUCUAUAGAAAGGAGGGAAUUAAGGGUAUGGGUUGGGGAAUGAUUAUAUACAGUUAUACACACAGACAUUCAAACACACGACACAUUUUGAUACCUGAAUUGCCUAUAUACUGUGUACCUUUCUUAAAAUCAUUCUCUUAGUAUUUGACACCUAUGGCUUUUCCUACAGUAUUAUUAGCUGUUUUCUAGAAUUCCUUUCCUUCUUUGACAUCUUUUGUUUAUCUUACUGUAGUAUCUGUGCUGUCUUUGAUUUUUUUUCUCUCUCUCUGUGUGUGUGUGUGUGUGUGUGUGUGUGUGUGUAUACAUAUAUAUAUAUACACACAUAUAUAUAUUUGCUGUCCUACGUAGGCCAGGAUGAUUUUUAUUUGUCAGGUAUUUGCAAAUUAUAUAAAUUGUUUUGAAUCUGCUAGUCGUAUUUUUAAGUGUUAAAUCUAAUUAAAUUUAUUUCUAUAAAUUUCAGUAUGGAUAAAGAAACAAUUCAUGAUAUCCAUUCUUAUGUUUCUGCCCAUAUCCCUAUAUUGUUUGCUUGUUUGGGAUAACCUAAAAUUUUUUAUCCAGUUUACUACUAAUUUGUUUUACCUGAUGUAUCUUCUCUUUCAAUAAUUUUAUGUUACCUUCUGUUUAGAAUAAUAUUUGCCACAGAUAUUUAGGUUUAAUUCUGUGUUUGAAUGAUUCCAAUGCCUUUCUCUACCCACUUUGAACACUUCAUCCUGGAAUGGUUGGCUGAUGUAUGUCUCUAAACAAUUUUUUUUUUAGGAGAAGGUAUGUGGGUAAUGUAAUUCCUAAACCUUUGCUUUUCUGAAAAAUCUUUCAUUUGCCUUUAUACAUGACCAGAUUUACUGGGUAUAUAGAUUUGUUGAUGAAAAAA